rnacentral:rRNA from 1 species
UGAGUACGAGACGCUAAGGCGUUGAAGCAGUCUAUGUCAGACUUCCAAGAAAAGCUCGCAAUGUCAUAAACAAAGAAUGCCUGUACCAUAACCGACACAGGUGGGUAGGUAGAGUAUACUAAGGGGCGCGAGAUAACUCUCUCUAAGGAACUCGGCAAAAUGACUCCGUAACUUCGGGAGAAGGAGUGCCUUAUUUUUAUAAGGUUGCAAUAACAAGAUCCAAGCAACUGUUUACCAAAAACACAGGUCUCCGCUAAGUCGUAAGACGAUGUAUGGGGGCUGACGCCUGCCCAGUGCCAGAAGGUUAAAGAAGUUGGUUAGUUUCGGCGAAGCUGAUGACUGAAGCCCUGGUGAACGGCGGCCGUAACAAUAACGGUCCUAAGGUAGCGAAAUUCCUUGUCGGGUAAGUUCCGACCCGCACGAAAGGCGUAAUGAUUUGGAUACUGUCUCGGAGAGGGGCUCGGUGAAAUAGACUUGUCUGUGAAGAUGCGGACUACCUGCACCUGGACAGAAAGACCCUAUGAAGCUUUACUGUAACUUGAGAUUGAAAUUGGACUUUAUUUGCGCAGUAUAGGUGGGAGACGUUGAGAAUAUUCUUGCGGGAAUAUUGGAGUCAUCAGUGAGAUACCACUCUUGUAAUGUUAGAUUUCUAACUUUGUAUCAUUAUCUGGUCAAAGGACAGUUUCAGGCGGGCAGUUUGACUGGGGCGGUCGCCUCCCAAACGGUAACGGAGGCGCACAAAGGUUUCCUCUGAACGUGUAGAAAUUGUAUCUAGAGUGUAAAGGCAUAAGGAAGCUUGACUGUGAGACCUACAAGUCGAGCAGGGACGAAAGUCGGUCUUAGUGAUCUGACGGUGCUGAGUGGAAAGGCCGUCACUCAACGGAUAAAAGUUACUCUAGGAUAACAGGCUGAUCUCCCCCAAGAGUUCACAUCGACGGGGAGGUUUGGCACCUCGAUGUCGGCUCAUCGCAUCCUGGGGCGGUAGUACGUCCCAAGGGUUGGGCUGUUCGCCCAUGAAAGCGGUACGCGAGCUGGGUUCAGAACGUCGUGAGACAGUUCGGUCCAUAUCCGGUGUAGGCGUUAGAAUAUUGAGAGGAGCCUUCUUUAGUACGAGAGGACCGAGAAGGACAUACCUCUGGUGUACCAGUUAUCGUGCCAACGGUAAACGCUGGGUAGCUAUGUAUGGAGUGGAUAACCGCUGAAAGCAUCUAAGUGGGAAGCCCACCUCAAGAUAAG